rnacentral:lncRNA from 13 species
UGGUUCAUGUUGGCCAAUUUGUCAAGCGGCUGAGCAGUUGUUAAGAACCGCACAGUUAAGUUGGCUUGUCACAUUUCUAUAGAUUAGGCUGGUAAAGAGACAACAAACUCAUUUUUAUUUAUUAUUUUUUUCAGACACUGUCUGGUUCUGUCACCCAAGCAUGAGUUCAGUAGCACAAUCACUCACUGCAGGCUCACAGCUCACUCGACCUCCCAGGCUCAAGUGAUCCUCCCACCUCAGCCUCCUGAGUAGCUGGGACUACAGAGACAGGAUCUCCCUAUGUUGUCCAGGCUGGUCUGGAACUCCUGAGCUCAAGCAACCUGCUCACCUCAGCCUCCUAGAGUGGUGGGAUUACAGGUAUGAGCCACCGUGCCUGGUUAUAUCUACUAUUGACCGUAUGUCCUUGUGCAUCUGUGAUUGUAUUUCCUUAUAUGUAUGUGUGUGUGACUGUGUGUGUGUGUAUUUCAGUCAUGUAUUGCUGUGUAACAGAUUACCCCUGACCAUGGUGGCAGAGGGAGUGCUUCUGUUGUACCAAAUGGAAACUGCCUGAGAUGGCAGCCAUCACCUAGAAGCUACCCACGGACAAAGCCAUGUCGUCUACCCCACAUUAACAUUGAGGUACCAGAAAUAAGGAAAGUCCUUAUGACUCUGAGAGACCUAAAGGGGGUUUGCAGGGUGAGUGAUGGGGUCUGUUUGGUGAGUAAUGAUAUGGCCUAUGAAUACAAUGAUGAGGAAUCUGUGGUCGGAGUGCUGGGGGUUCUGGGAUCCUGCAUGCUGGGUGAUGGGCUCUGUGGGGGUUAGAUAUGCAGUAUUGGGGCAGUGAGUGACAGGAGUGACUCCAUCAUGGCUUGAGGCAUCCUCAACCUCCUGGGCUCAAACAAUCCUCCCACCUCAGCCUCCUGAGUAGCUGGGACCACAGGCAUGCGGCACCACGCCUGGCUAAUUUUUUAGUUUUUUGUAGAGAGAGGGGUUUUGACAUGUUGCCCAGGUUGGUCUCAAACUACCAGGCUCAAGUGAUCUGCCUGCUCCAGCCUCCCAAAGUGCUGGGAUUACAGGCAUGACUCACCUUGCCUGGCCGAUUUUCAUUUCUCUAGAUUAAGUGCCCAAGAACGCAAUUGCUGCAUCAUAUGUUUAAUUUUAUAAGA